GAGGGUCUCAGUACUCAUCUCAGGGAGAGGGUCUCAGUACUCAUCUCAGAGAGAGGGUCUCAGUACUCAUCUCUGAGAGGUUAGGGAGAGGGUCUCAGUACUCAUCUCUGAGAGGUUAGGGAGAGGGUCUCAGUACUCAUCUCUGAGAGGUGAGGGAGAGGGUCUCAGUACUCAUCUCAGAGAAAGGGUCUCAGUACACAUCUCUGAGAGGUUAGGAGAGGGUCUCAGUACUCAUCUCAGAGAGGUUAGGGAGAGGGUCUCAGUACUCAUCUCAGAGAGAGGGUCUCAGUACUCAUCUCAGAGAGAAGGUCUCAGCACUCAUCUCAGAGAGAGGUUAGGGAGAGGGUCUCAGUACUCAUCUCAGAGAGAGGGUGGUAUCCUCAGUAAUUAACCUGACUUCAGAUGUAAGGUACUCCCGUUACUCCCAUGUAGUUAGUUGGUAUCCUCAGUAAUUAGCCUGACUUCUGGAGGUACUCCCGUUACUCCCAUGUAGUUAGUUGGUAUCCUCAGUAAUUAGCCUGACUUCUGGAGGUAUCCUCAGUAAUUAGCCUGACUUCUGGAGGUAUCCUCAGUAAUUAGCCUGAUGUCUGGAGGUAUCCUCAGUAAUUAGCCUGAUGUCUGGAGGUAUCCUCAGUAAUUAGCCUGACUUCUGGAGGUAUCCUCAGUAAUUAGCCUGACUUCUGGAGGUAUCCUCAGUAAUUAGCCUGACUUCUGGCGGUAUCCUCUGUAAUUAGCCUGACUUCUGGAGGUAUCCUCAGUAAUUAGCCUGACUUCUGGAGGUAUACUCAGUAAUUAGCCUGACUUCUGGAGGUAUACUCAGUAAUUAGCCUGACUUCUGGAGGCAUCCUCAGUAAUUAGCCUGACGUCUGGAGGUAUCCUCUGUAAUUAGCCUGACUUCUGGCGGUAUCCUCUGUAAUUAGCCUGACUUCUGGAGGUAUACUCAGUAAUUAGCCUGACUUCUGGAGGUAUCCUCUGUAAUUAGCCUGACUUCUGGCGGUAUCCUCUGUAAUUAGCCUGACUUCUGGAGGCAUCCUCAGUAAUUAGCCUGACUUCUGGAGGUAUCUUCAGUAAUUAGCCUGACUUCUGGAGGUAUCCUCAGUAAUUAGCCUGACUUCUGGAGGUAUCCUCAGUAAUUAGCCUGAUGUCUGGAGGUAUCCUCAGUAAUUAGCCUGACUUCUGGAGGUAUCCUCAGUAAUUAGCCUGACUUCUGGAGGUAUCCUCAGUAAUUAGCCUGACUUCUGGCGGUAUCCUCUGUAAUUAGCCUGACUUCUGGAGGUAUCCUCAGUAAUUAGCCUGACUUCUGGAGGUAUCCUCAGUAAUUAGCCUGACUUCUGGAGGUAUCCUCAGUAAUUAGCCUGACCUCUGGAGGUAUACUCAGUAAUUAGCCUGACUUCUGGAGGUAUCCUCAGUAAUUAGCCUGACUUCUGGCGGUAUCCUCUGUAAUUAGCCUGACUUCUGGAGGUAUCCUCAGUAAUUAGCCUGACUUCUGGCGGUAUCCUCUGUAAUUAGCCUGACUUCUGGAGGUAUCCUCAGUAAUUAGCCUGACUUCUGGAGGUAUCCUCAGUAAUUAGCCUGACUUCUGGCGGUAUCCUCUGUAAUUAGCCUGACUUCUGGAGGUAUCCUCAGUAAUUAGCCUGACUUCUGGAGGUAUCCUCUGUAAUUAGCCUGACUUCUGGAGGUAUCCUCAGUAAUUAGCCUGACUUCUGGAGGUAUCCUCAGUAAUUAGCCUGACUUCUGGAGGUAUCCUCAGUAAUUAGCCUGACUUCUGGAGGUAUCCUCUGUAAUUAGCCUGACUUCUGGCGGUAUCCUCUGUAAUUAGCCUGACUUCUGGAGGCAUCCUCAGUAAUUAGCCUGACUUCUGGAGGUAUCUUCAGUAAUUAGCCUGACUUCUGGAGGUAUCCUCAGUAAUUAGCCUGACUUCUGGAGGUAUCCUCAGUAAUUAGCCUGAUGUCUGGAGGUAUCCUCAGUAAUUAGCCUGAUGUCUGGAGGUAUCCUCAGUAAUUAGCCUGACUUCUGGCGGUAUCCUCAGUAAUUAGCCUGACUUCUGGAGGUAUCCUCAGUAAUUAGCCUGACUUCUGGCGGUAUCCUCAGUAAUUAGCCUGA